rnacentral:tRNA from 1 species
UAGCUCAAUUGGUAGAGCAUGGUGCUUGCAACUCCAGGGUUGUGGGUUUGAGUCCCAA